rnacentral:tRNA from 1 species
UGCAUCGGCCGGGAAUCGAACCCGCGCCGCCCGCUUGGCAGGCGAGCAUUCUACCACUGAACCACCGAUGG